rnacentral:piRNA from 1 species
UGGGCAGUGAUGACAGUGGAAAGGCAGC